CACGUAGGGUGCGAGCGUUGUCCGGAAUUAUUGGGCGUAAAGAGCUCGUAGGCGGUGUGUCGCGUCGGCCGUGAAAACCUGCAGCUUAACUGUGGGCUUGCGGUCGAUACGGGCAUCACUGGAGUUCGGCAGGGGAGACUGGAAUUCCUGGUGUAGCGGUGAAAUGCGCAGAUAUCAGGAGGAACACCAAUUGCGAAGGCAGCUUGCUGGGACGUUACUGACGCUAAGGCGCGAAAGCGUGGGGAGCGAACAGG
rnacentral:rRNA from 1 species